GUGUUGGACAAGUUCCUAGAGCAUUACGUCCGCCGGUCCAGCGUCUUCUUGUACUCUGUCACCGCCGUCGUCUUCAAGGUCCUGCUCUUGUUCCGAUUCCUCUUGUGUGGCUUUUGAACUCAUGUUCGUCUUCUCUGCAGAUUUUAUUUCAGGAAUAAAUAGCCCCCUGUUCUUGCUUAUGUGUAAAUCUAAUGCUGGGUGAGAAACAAACAGAAGAUAGUUGUGUUUUGUCUACCAUGUGUAAAUUUAAUGCGGCAAACUGCAAUAAUGAUUUAUAGAAGUUGUUAUCUGUUUGCUAAUAAUUGUGUGUAGCGUGAGUUUUUUCGAAACAUUGGUAGCACAUGUUGACAUGUUGUGAAUAGUCAGUCGAUGAGAGCAUUUGUUAGAAGAUCCUUCUAUAUUUAGUGUCCAUGUGUAUUAUUGGUUAAUUGAUUAAACUACUAGUGUCCAGCCUCUAUAAGUAAAUCUGUUGCUCCUUUUUUUUAAUCAGUUCGGAUUGUCAUACAUAUGAAUGUAAUGUUCUUGUUAAAAAUCCUCUACUGCAGAUUUCUAAUAUUUUUUGUACUUCACUUUUUAUGUCACCCUAUCGCCAUGAAUAUGUAUUGAUUUAUGCUUCUGUGCAUAUUUGUAUGUAUGCGGCCCUGGAAGUGGCCACAACUUGCUGGAGAUGUAGCUGCUCGCACACAUGACAAACCGUAGCGACCUUGUGAUCAAAGGUUCAGAUUGAUGGUGAACAGAGUGGUUAAAUGACUGAAUGCUCAAACGUUUGUUGAGGCUUGAAAGCGUUUAUUCUAGAUUAGAUAUUGAGGUCCUCGAUCAACCUGGGAGCUAGCAUUUGACGCAAUCAUGCGCAGACGCAGAUGAUUACAUGUCCAGGAGCUUAACUCCGCGGCUACCUCGCCGCCACCGUCCAGUAGUUCAUCAAUAUUAGCACCAAAAGGGAGCUCAUGAAACCUGGCUUCCGAGUUAUCGCCAGGAGCAAGGAGAUGGUGUCGUUGUCUGGAGCGCUGGUCUGAGGCAGGGGAAGGUAGCUUUGUGUAUGUUCAUCGUCUUGUAUUUGAACUGAAUAUAGUUGUUAUGCAAAAUUUGAUGACUUGU